GUCAACAUCUGCUGAGUCAUUCCCUACCAAUUCAACACUGUCCAAUCCAAUACCUGCCGAUUCAACACCAGCUGAUUCAGCAUGUGCUCAGUCAACAUCAAUCGCUGAUUUAACAGAUUUUGAGUCAUGUGACAGUGACUCUGCAAUAAGUGAGACCAGUGUCCAGGCACCGACUGACAAUUUGCAGGAAGACUGUACAAGUAGUGGUUCUGUAGAAGAAAGGCAGUUAACUGAUGCAACUAGGGCUGCAAGUGGUCUCAUCUUCCCACCAACAAAGGGCACAUCGGCUGAUUCAGUGCCUACCAAUUCAACACCAUCCAAGCCA